rnacentral:misc_RNA from 1 species
CCGAGUUUACAACUCCCAAACCCCUGUGGACAUACCACUUGUUGCCUCGGCGGAUCAGCCCGCUCCCGGUAAAACGGGACGGCCCGCCAGAGGACCCCUAAACUCUGUUUCUAUAUGUAACUUCUGAGUAAAACCAUAAAUAAAUCA